rnacentral:rRNA from 1 species
GUCCACGCCCUAAACGAUGUCAACUGGUUGUUGGGGUAUUUACUUACUCAGUAACGAAGCUAACGCGUGAAGUUGACCGCCUGGGGAGUACGGCCGGCAAGGUUGAAACUCAAAGGAAUUGACGGGGACCCGCACAAGGCGGUGGAUGAUGUGGUUUAAUUCGAUGCAACGCGAAAAACCUUACCCACCUUUGACAUGUACGGAAGUUGCCAGAGAUGGCUUCGUGCUCGAAAAGAGAGCCGUAACACAGGUGCUGCAUGGCUGUCGU